CAGUAGCCGCGGGAAUACAGAGGGUGCGAGCGUUAAUCGGAUUUACUGGGCGUAAAGCGUGCGUAGGCGGCUUCUUAAGUCGGAUGUGAAAUCCCCGAGCUUAACUUGGGAAUUGCAUUCGAUACUGGUUAGCUAGAGUGUGGGAGAGGAUGGUAGAAUUCCAGGUGUAGCGGUGAGAUGCGUAGAGAUCUGGAGGAAUACCGAUGGCGAAGGCAGCCAUCUGGCCUAACACUGACGCUGAGGUACGAAAGCAUGGGGAGCAAACAGGAUUAGAUACCCGGGUAGUCCCUGUCUCUUAUAC
rnacentral:rRNA from 1 species